GUUCGAUUAGGUCUGAUCUUUCAUCACCAUCCCAGUCGUAAAUCUAUCUUUUCUUGAUUUAAUUUGAACUUCAGUGGAUCUGCAUAAACCAGAUGAGAUUGAAGUUGAAGAGGACUAGAGGGAAGAGCCUGGUGGCAAAGAAGUGGGUCCUUCAGAUUGUGAUGAUGGCGAAGAAGUUGGAUCUGUAAAUGUGGGAAACUCUGCUUAGCUAGCCAAAAAAGAAGACAUUAAUGGAUUACUUGUGGGUGGUGCUUCAUUAAAGG